AGCCUCUUGGUGCUUACUAUAGGCUGUGUUCUUUCACUGACUGUAUAGAAAGAGGAGGCAGUGUAAGGCUACCCCAUAUUCACCUCAGCCAAGCUCUGUGCCUGCUCUGUACUAUGAAUGGGGAGGCAUGG